rnacentral:ncRNA from 1 species
UAUCUUUGGCCCGCGUCUGGUGCUCACGCGCGCUUUUCCCGCGCGCGUAGUUAAACGGGAAACAGGGUGCAUACGCGCGUAUUUUCCAGGCUCGAAGCUGUAGGCCGCACGCGCCGUACCGACAAAAACCUGUGCUGUCCCCGCAACGGUACGCGACCCGCGCCUCGUUCGACUGACUCUCAUUCCUGAUUUUCAUUCGAACCGGGCGCUCAUUUCCUCCAAAGCCACUGCGCAAGCGCGCGGGAAGGCGAGCGGAAUGCGGUCGCCAAGCCCGGAUACCGGCCAGUCGCCAAGUGGCGCG